GCCCUCGUGGUCAAGAGGUUAAGACGUAGCCCUCUCACGGCUGAGUCUGGGGUUCGAUUCCCCACGGGGGUA
rnacentral:tRNA from 1 species